GGGCCCGUAGCUUAGCCAGGUAUAGCUCAACCCCGAGUUGAGUAGCCCAGAGCACCGGAUAGAGUACCUAGGUGAUGCUUUUAGGGCAGCCGAAGAUCCGAAGCCACCCGGAAACAUCUGAGACGAUGUUGGGUAGGGGUCCCGGGUUCGAUUCCCGGCGGGCCCGCCA
rnacentral:tRNA from 1 species